UACGUAGGCAGCGAGCGUUGUUCGGAGUUACUGGGCGUAAAGGGCGCGUAGGCGGCCUUCUAAGUCGAACGUGAAAUCCCCGGGCUCAACCCGGGAACUGCGUCCGAUACUGGAAGGCUUGAAUCCGGGAGAGGGAUGCGGAAUUCCAGGUGUAGCGGUGAAAUGCGUAGAUAUCUGGAGGAACACCGGUGGCGAAGGCGGCAUCCUGGACCGGUAUUGACGCUGAGGCGCGAAAGCCAGGGGAGCAAACGGG
rnacentral:rRNA from 1 species